rnacentral:rRNA from 1 species
AGCAGCCGCGGUAAUUCCAGCUCCAAUAGCGUAUAUUAAAGUUGCUGCAGUUAAAAAGCUCGUAGUUGAAUUUCGGGACUAAUAUGUCGGUCGUGCCUCGGUACGUACUGGUUUAUUGGUUUCUCCUUUCUGAAGAACCAUGAUGUCAUUUAUUUGGUGUCGUGGGGAAUCAGGACUGUUACUUUGAAAAAUUAGAGUGUUUAAAGCAGGCUCACGCUUGAAUACAUUAGCAUGGAAUAAUGAAAUAGGACGUUUGAUUCUAUUUUGUUGGUUUCUAGGAUCGACGUAAUGAUUAAUAGGGAUAGUUGGGGGCAUUAGUAUUCAAUUGUCAGAGGUGAAAUUCUUGGAUUUAUUGAAGACUAACUACUGCGAAAGCAUUUGCCAAGGAUGUUUUCAUUAAUCAAGAGCGAAAGUUAGGGGAUCGAAGACGAUCAGAUACCGUCGUAGUCUUAACCAUAAACUAUGCCGACUAGGGAUCGGAUGAU